rnacentral:rRNA from 1 species
AGAGUUUGAUCAUGGCUCAGGACGAACGCUGGCGGCGUGCUUACACAUGCAAGUCGACGAUGAAGCCUUUCGGGGUGGAUUAGUGGCGACGGGUGAGUAACACGUGGGCAAUCUGCCCUGCACUCUGGGACAAGCCCUGGAAACGGGGUCUAAUACCGGAUAAUACCUUCCCUCGCAUGGGGGUGGGUUCAAAGCUCCGGCGGUGCAGGAUGAGCCCGCGGCCUAUCAGCUUGUUGGUGAGGUAGUGGCUCACCAAGGCGACGACGGGUAGCCGGCCUGAGAGGGCGACCGGCCACACUGGGACUGAGACACGGCCCAGACUCCUACGGGAGGCAGCAGUGGGGAAUAUUGCACAAUGGGCGAAAGCCUGAUGCAGCGACGCCGCGUGAGGGAUGACGGCCUUCGGGUUGUAAACCUCUUUCAGCAGGGAAGAAGCGAAAGUGACGGUACCUGCAGAAGAAGCGCCGGCUAACUACGUGCCAGCAGCCGCGGUAAUACGUAGGGCGCAAGCGUUGUCCGGAAUUAUUGGGCGUAAAGAGCUCGUAGGCGGUUUGUCGCGUCGGAUGUGAAAGCCCGGGGCUUAACCCCGGGUCUGCAUUCGAUACGGGCAGACUAGAGUGUGGUAGGGGAGAUCGGAAUUCCUGGUCUAGCGGUGAAAUGCGCAGAUAUCAGGAGGAACACCGGUGGCGAAGGCGGAUCUCUGGGCCAUUACUGACGCUGAGGAGCGAAAGCGUGGGGAGCGAACAGGAUUAGAUACCCUGGUAGUCCACGCCGUAAACGGUGGGAACUAGGUGUUGGCGACAUUCCACGUCGUCGGUGCCGCAGCUAACGCAUUAAGUUCCCCGCCUGGGGAGUACGGCCGCAAGGCUAAAACUCAAAGGAAUUGACGG